rnacentral:lncRNA from 1 species
UAUAAUGACAUGCUGGUUUGAUAUAUAUGCUCUGCAUAGAGUUGAAUAGAGCUCAAAAAGUACAGGAUUUUUGUGUUUGCAGAGUGACAUCAGGGCAUUCACAACGCUUAGGGAGUCUGUAAAUAUAACUGCUUCUUGAAGUUUUAUUUUCCUUAUAUGAUUCACAGCAGACAGUCGUGCAUAGGCCUCAGCCGUAAAGAUACUUGUUUCCGGGUGCAGUUCACCGGAUUCCAAGAAAACUGGGUCGACGGCUGCAUAGGACACCCCGUCGUGUGACUUUG